UAAGGAAUAUUGGACAAUGGAGGCAACUCUGAUCCAGCCAUGCCGCGUGAAGGAAUAAGGCCCUAUGGGUUGUAAACUUCUUUUAUACGGGACAAAACCCCUUUACGUGUAAAGGGUUGUUGGUACUGUCAGAAUAAGCAUCGGCUAACUUCGUGCCAGCAGCCGCGGUAAUACGAAGGAUGCAAGCGUUAUCCGGAAUUAUUGGGUUUAAAGGGUGCGUAGGCGGACUAAUAAGUCAGUGGUGAAAGCCUGCAGCUUAACUGCAGAAUUGCCAUUGAUACUGUUAGUCUUGAGUUCAGUUGAGGUAGGCGGAAUGUGUCAUGUAGCGGUUAAAUGCUUAGAUAUGACACAGAACACCGAUUGCGAAGGCAGCUUGCUAAGCUGUAACUGACGCUGAGGCACGAAAGCGUGGGGA
rnacentral:rRNA from 1 species